AAAAACCAAAGCCUUCUUCACCCCUACAUGCUUAGACCCACUAUAGAUUGCUUUAUCUGUCCCAGUGGCCUUCCAAUACCCAGACACGGUUGCUCUAUUAGGCCUCACCCCAUUUGGAUACUUCCUCUCUCGUGGGCUAAAGAAGUACCACUCCUUUUCUCCAAAGUCUGUUUUAUCUGUAUUUCAUGAGCAAUCAACAUGUAAGAACAAGUGAAACAUGCACAUGAAACAUAUUAUAAGGUUCAACAUAUUCAAAUAUAGACAAUAUUCACACAGGUUUUAUUUUUUUUUUUAUCUGUCAAAAAUAAAAGAACUGUGUCACGGUAUUUGCAAUAUAACUCACGCAUUCUAGUCAACCAAGUGAGUUAAAUUUCUUUAUAAGCACAAAGGUUUGAUUACCAGGUAAUUCCCAUGGAUCAAACUUAUAGAUAUCCACUUCUGGAAUGAUUGAUGCAGGGCAUGGCCUUGAUGAGGCUUGGUUGCAAAGGUAGUACACAAUUAGUUCCUCAUCAGUGGGGUGAAACCUGAAGCCAGGUGGGAGUACAGAGCUUGUUCUAUUCUCCAUUGAGUUAAAAUGAAAAUCAAAACAAGUUUGAAUGGGAAACUAUAUGGAACAGUUUUCUAUUGGCUUCUUUUGCUAGUUAUGGGGACUAGAGAAGGGAAAGGAUUUUUUUGUAAGGAGAAAAUUGAAAGCAAGG
rnacentral:lncRNA from 1 species